GGCCUGAUGCCACGUCAAUGGUAGCUUUGAGCAUUAACCGGUGAUGCUAUGAUUAGGCCUAAAAGGAGUUGUUUCAAUGUUUCACAUUUUGAUAGGAACCUGGGGAUGGCCACUCUAUCUGUCCACAGAGCCGGUUUCUGUGAUUACAUUU